GCGCUCCCACGCGGCAGCCGGUCACACCAGCGUAUCGGAUGUGCUUCCUGCGGGAGUUUAGUUUUCAACUUCGUUUGAUCGUCUGCUGGCAUAAGUGAUAUUGAUCAAGCAAGAAAACACCUUCAGGCGCUCGCAUGCUCUCUGAUGGGUCCACGAAUUAGAAGCGUUCGCGAGUAACCGCUGCGUUGUGCCUGAUAGACGCAUAGAGAUGAUGUCGGCGGCAGCAGCGGCGGUGUGCGGGGGAUCCCCGGUCCUGCCUUCAAGUACGGUGGAUCCGGCCACAAACGAUGCGCCGCUGGAGUUUGCGGCACGAAUCAAGACCACUGUGGCCCCCGAAGGGCUCGGACGUCCUGUGGGAGCAACAUUUGGGAGCUUUGCUGCUGGUCUGGCUGAAGGAGCCACUGGCCUCCCCUCAUUGGCUAGCCUCAUGGGCAGUCCUGCACCCUGGGGUGUGCCCCCAUUUAUCGGCCUGCCCGGAGACCAUGCCCUUAUGGGAGUGGUUUCCAGCUACAGCCAGUGCCCACAGUUUGGUUUCCUAGGACCACCACCUGAAAUUGGGCCCGGAAUACUGCCAGCCACUGUUCUCAGCCCGAACGCACCUGUGAAGGAGCUGCUGAGGUUUCCAAGCUGUGUCCUGUACCCUCCAAAGCCAAAUAUGCCACCGCCAGCCACACGAGAUCGACCUCCAGGCUGUCGCACAGUGUUUGUGGGUGGCCUGCCUGAGAGCUCUACGGAGGAGCUGGUGCGAGAGGUUUUCCAGCACUGUGGCACCAUCACCACCGUUCGCAUGAGCAAGAAGAACUUUUGCCACAUCCGCUUUGAGACAGAAGAGCAAGUGGAUCGUGCCAUUGCCCUCUCAGGGUACCGGAUGAAAAUUCGAGACCAAGAGGAGGCCAGCCACACUGGACAGCUGCAUGUGGACUUUGCACAGGCACGAGACGACCAGUACGAAUGGGAGUGCCGCCAGCGAGCUUUGCAGCGUGAACAGCGCCACCGGGAGCGGUUGGACCGUGAGCGGUUGCGGCCGCCUUCACCGCCGCCAGUGGUCCAUUAUUCAGACCAUGAGGCCCAACAGCUGACUGAGCGUCUCAAAGGGGACGAAAGCUUCCAGAAGGCAGUGCAAGUGCUGACAGUGUGGUUGGACCGCGGGGAGUGCACCAAGCGCAACGCAGGUCAAUUUUACUCAAUGCUGCAGACAGCCAAUGGUCACAUCCGCCGCCUACUCCAAGAGAAGCAGGAUCACCAAGAAGCACUGGACAAGGCCCGUGUCCUAUUUGCCCAGAGGCUCCAGGGGAUCCUUGUCCAAUUGGGACAAAUUGAGAAGGUAUUUUCCAUGGCCAGUCAUCAGAAGGUUUGGGACCAUUUCACCAAGGCCCAGCGCAAGAACAUUGAUACCUGGCGCAAGCAAUCUGAGGAAAUCAAGUCUGCGCACUUGGCUGAUGUGUUGGACAAGCGCCAGGAAGAUGAGAUGGAUCUGAGUGAUGAGGACGAGCCGCCACCUGCAAAGGCAGCCAAGAUAUCAGAGAGUGGCUCAGAAGUUGAUGGCUGCACUGCUCUGGCCGCAGAAGAUGAAUCAGCAGCAGCGACGCGACUGGCCCUGCAAGAAGAGUGCGACUCCCUCCGGUGCCAGCUGGAGGCGUAUCGCAACGAGGCGCAGCUUCUCAAGGCUGAGCAAGAGCAGCGAGACCAGCAGCUGCACUUGCUCCAGCAAGCCUUGCAGGGCCUUCAGCAGCAGCGCGCACGGGAUUUCCAGGAACUUGAAAAAUUGCGGUCAUCCAAAAACGGCUCUACGCCAAGUCCUGAGAGAGAACCAUGCUCAGCAUCUGGUUCGCGGAAUGAAGUGUCCUCGUCUACUCAGGUUGCAGGGAUAAGAAUCACUGAAAAGGAUGCAAAGCUGAUUGGUUUGGUGUCCAUGUUCCUGCAUCUGCAUCCGGACGGUGCAAGUCUGGACUACCUGUGGUCUUAUGUGCACACUCGGGAGCCCGCUCUGCAGCCCUGUGAUGUCGAGGUGCUCCUUUCGAAGUUCCCCACCCUGUUCCCGCUCGAGGUCACAGGUGUCGGUGCCACUCUCGAGAGACGAUGGAAGUUUGGGGGAUUCGCGCCGUCUCUUUGAAAUGUUUUUCUCGUCUGUUCUCAACUCUAUUUUUUUCCUCCUCCUUGGCGCCCUUCUUUGAUUUUGCGUACUCUUCUGUCAAGGCUCUCUUGUCUUGCCCUCUUUCGGUGUUGUUCCUGUCACAUCGGUCUUGAUUGUCAAACACGAAAAGCAUCGUCAAACACGAAAAGCAUCUGCAUUUUCGUUUUACAGAUCAUUCAGCAUCACAGUAUUAUUUCAAGUAUGUUGUACACGAAAGGUGUCUGUUGAAAAUGUGGCUUGACCUACAAUGUUUGUUCUGACUGAGCUGUGUCAUCUAUUUAAGGACAAACCUUAUUUAGGCAAGCACAGCCUUGUUAUGUCCUUAGAGCAAGGCUUGACUCAUGGCCCAUCAGAAUUCUUACAGAUGCUUGUGUGAUGGACACUGUGAUGAACUCGUGCAGCAGUCCAUGGGCAGUUUAAAUUGGUGCAAUUUUCCAUGUAUAACGUGUCAGCUUAUCAGCUCCUUGCACAUUCAAACUGCCUGUGCAUGGGCAAAUUUCGAUACGUACUGUUUCUUAGGCUAACCAGUCUCUU
rnacentral:misc_RNA from 1 species